CAGGAUUUGGAAUUACUGCACAUGCUCCCGCUUUGCAGCAGCCAUGGCAGCCUCAGUGCUGGGAUGGCAGCCACAGCCUUGGCAGGCUGUCUGGACUGGACACAGCAGAUGCUGGUUCUGGAUAAAUACAGGUCCUGGACUAUUUCACUGGCUGCAGAAGAAUCCCUUUGCCCAUGACAGCCAAGCUGAUUUUCUGCCAUGCUGGCCACAGGCAAGGCUACCUCACCUGCCAUGUGCAACAGAAUAUUUACUAUCAGCUGCACUAAGGAGAAUUAUCAGCAGUGUUACUGAAUCACAUCAGCAGCUCGGAUGCAUCGAGCACAGAAAAUUACUGACAAUGCUCUGCUGAGCCGCCAGUGAAUCCCACUGUGCAAUCCUUGUGCGCGCACGUCCUGCCGGAGCCGCUGGAUUCCUCAGCACACCUUCCAGACCU